GCCGGAAUCGCUAGUAAUCGCGGAUCAGAAUGCCGCGAUGAAUACGUUCCCGGGUCUUGUACACACCGCCCGUCACACCAUGGGAGUCGGGGAAUGCCCGAAGUCAGUGACCCAACCCAAGGGAGGGAGCUGCCGAAGGCAGGCCUGGUGACUGGGGUGAAGUCGUAACAAGGUACC
rnacentral:rRNA from 1 species